rnacentral:rRNA from 1 species
UACGUAGGGUGCAAGCGUUAUCCGGAAUUAUUGGGCGUAAAGAGCUCGUAGGCGGUUUGUCGCGUCUGCUGUGAAAACUGGAGGCUCAACCUCCAGCCUGCAGUGGGUACGGGCAGACUAGAGUGCGGUAGGGGAGAUUGGAAUUCCUGGGUGUAGCGGUGGAAUGCGCAGAUAUCAGGAGGAACACCGAUGGCGAAGGCAGAUCUCUGGGCCGUAACUGACGCUGAGGAGCGAAAGCUGGGGAGCGAACAGG